AGCCUGAACGCUGGCGGCGUGGCUAAGACAUGCAAGUCGUACGGGUGUAGCAAUACACCAGUGGCGAACGGGUGAGUAAUGUAUCGCUAAUGUGCCCCGGAUUCUGGGAUAGCUACCCGAAAGGGUAGGUAAUACCAGAUGAUAUAACUUUGCCGCAUGGCAGAGUUCUCAAAGGAGUAAUCCGCUCUGGGAGCAGGCGAUAUCGUAUCAGCUAGUUGGUGAGGUAACGGCUCACCAAGGCGACGACGCGUAGCCGGACUGAGAGGUUGGCCGGCCACAUUGGGACUGAGACACUGCCCAGACUCCUACGGGGGGCUGCAGUAACGAAUCUUCCGCAAUGCACGAAAGUGUGACGGAGCGACGCCGCGUGUGGGACGAAGCCCUUCGGGGUGUAAACCACUGUCAGGGGUUAGAAAGUUCUGAUCAACCCCAGAGGAAGGCACGGCUAACUCUGUGCCAGCAGCCGCGGU
rnacentral:rRNA from 1 species